AUGGCCAUAUCAGGUUGAAACACCGGAUCUCAUACAAUCACUGAAGUUAAGCAAUGUUCAGCCUGGUUAGUACCUAGCUGUGUGACUGCUUGGGAAUACCAUGUACUGUAAG